UGCAGGCCUGAUAAUAAUUACAACCAGACUGGAAAAGAAAUCUUGGACCCAUGUGACCUGGAUGGAAAACAACAGAAUCAAACCCCUUUAAAUAAAAUUUUAUUAAUAAAUAAA